CCUACGGGCGGCUGCAGUGGGGAAUAUUGCACAAUGGGCGCAAGCCUGAUGCAGCCAUGCCGCGUGUGUGAAGAAGGCCUUCGGGUUGUAAAGCACUUUCAGCGGGGAGGAAGGCGGUGAGGUUAAUAACCUCAUCGAUUGACGUUACCCGCAGAAGAAGCACCGGCUAACUCCGUGCCUGCAGCCGCGGUAAUACGGAGGGUGCAAGCGUUAAUCGGAAUUACUGGGCGUAAAGCGCACGCAGGCGGUCUGUCAAGUCGGAUGUGAAAUCCCCGGGCUCAACCUGGGAACUGCAUUCGAAACUGGCAGGCUAGAGUCUUGUAGAGGGGGGUAGAAUUCCAGGUGUAGCGGUGAAAUGCGUAGAGAUCUGGAGGAAUACCGGUGGCGAAGGCGGCCCCCUGGACAAAGACUGACGCUCAGGUGCGAAAGCGUGGGGAGCAAACAGGAUUAGAUACCCCUGUAGUC
rnacentral:rRNA from 1 species